rnacentral:rRNA from 1 species
CCUACGGGCGGCAGCAGUGAGGAAUAUUGGUCAAUGGGCGCAAGCCUGAACCAGCCAAGUCGCGUGAGGGAUGACGGUCCUAUGGAUUGUAAACCUCUUUUGUCAAGGGACAAAAUCAGGCUCGAGAGCCUGACCGAGGGUACUUGAAGAAAAAGCAUCGGCUAACUCCGUGCCAGCAGCCGCGGUAAUACGGAGGAUGCGAGCGUUAUCCGGAUUUAUUGGGUUUAAAGGGUGCGUAGGCGGACUGUUAAGUCAGCGGUAAAAGCCCGGGGCUCAACCCCGGCGAGCCGUUGAAACUGGCUGUCUUGAGAUGUCGAGAGGUAUGCGGAAUGCGCAGUGUAGCGGUGAAAUGCUUAGAUAGUGCGCAGAACUCCGAUUGCGAAGGCAGCAUACCGGCGGCGAUCUGACGCUGAGGCACGAAAGCGUGGGUAUCGAACAGGAGUAGAUACCCUUGUAGUC